AAACCGUUCAGGGGUAAACCUGAGAAACCCAAAAGAUCGAAUGGAGAGAUUCAUCGUCAACGGCCGCUGGCUCCCGUUGGUUCGCGAUGCCCCGCAACGGACCCUCGCGGUUCGUGUAGCGUGCGGGCACGCAACCUUCGGCGAUUGUUUCAGCGUCGUAGUCGUGCACUUCUCCCCUAGUAGAACGUCGCGACCCGUUGUGUGUCGGUCUACGGCCCGAGCGGUAGCCUGUCGCUUCGCCUCGUGCGUUCGCGACAGACCCUCGAUCGCCCGGCCGGCUGCACGACGGUACUCGCACGGUAUCGGGCCGCAACCAAUCCAUUCUCGAAUGUGUGUGCGUCAGGCCCACCGCAAGCUCGGUCAGUUUACCCGGAGGCACGGACCUGGUGCCGUCCCCGGGCCUGGCCAGCUGUUGGCAGGUGGUGUCCUCGGACUGGCCAAGCUUCGAAUUACCGGUCGGCGACGCUAUUGCUUUGGGUACUCUCAGGACCCGUCUUGAAACACGGACCAAGGAGUCUAACAUGUGCGCGAGUCAUUGGGACAAUUAAACCUAAAGGCGCAAUGAAAGUGAAGGUCGUCCUUCGACCGGUUGACCGAGGGAGGAUGGGCCGCGUAACUAUGCGGCCUCGCACUCCCGGGGCGUCUCGUUCUCAUUGCGAGAAGAGGCGCACCCAGAGCGUACACGUU
rnacentral:rRNA from 1 species